UAAGGAAGUUCUGCCCAUCUCAGCUAUGAGUGUAUUUUCUAGUCCUGCAUGAACACAGCAGACAGAGAGGGUAACUUUCUCUACUGGAAGUACCCAACCAAGUUCCAUGACCCAGCAGUAAUCAUCAAUCCCAUUAAAAUGCAGACACAGGGAUCACUUAUUUCACCACCAUGUGUGUGAGACCAGGAGUGUUGGAGUCAAGCAGAGAAUAGCUGUGGCCACAUACCAUCUUUUUAUUGUGGAGAUAAAAAUUCUAUAUAGCUCUCAUUCACCAUUUAGAUAGUUACACACAGAGAAUCUUAGAAAAAUGAGUUGCUACCAAGCUCAAGAAAACAGCCCAAAGCUCAGGAAAAAUUAGACACUUAAGAUACUAUAA